rnacentral:rRNA from 1 species
UACGUAGGGUGCGAGCGUUGUCCGGAAUUACUGGGCGUAAAGCGCACGUAGGCGGCUUGGUAUGUCGGGUGUGAAAUCCCCAGGCUCAACCUGGGAACUGCGUCUGAUACUGGAUGGCUUGAAUCCGGGAGAGGGAUGCAGAAUUCCAGGUGUAGCGGUGAAAUUCGUAGAUAUUGGGAAGAACACCGGUGGCGAAGGCGGCCAUCUGGACCGCAACUGACGCUGAGGCGCGAAAGCGUGGGGAGCAAACAGG